AUUUGAUGAUGGGAGCAAAUAGCACACAAUUUCUCAAACCUCUCCCAAUGCUCAUGUAAGGACUCUCCAUUGUAUUGUAUGAUGCCACAAAUUUCCUUUGUUAUAUU